AGUUGUAGAGUUUACCUUCAAAAUGGAGUCUUUCCCAGUAGUAUUAUGUGAGGGAAAUCAGCCAAUAUCAGAGUCAGUGUUUGUGGGACUGUGUGAGAUACUGGGGACAUCAAAACAGGUGGCUAUCAGGAGGGAGACAAGGGACAUCAAGGAGAUGGUGGACAGACGAGUGGCACCUAAUGUUGGGAUCAUUGGGAUGAAAAAUUGAAGUUGGGACAGGGUGAGAAGAAAUUUUCAUCUAACAAUAGAAGAGAAAGAGCUGUUUUGAAAACAAUGUCCACCUACAGCCCCUGAUAUUUUGGCACCAAAGAGUAUCUACUCUCUGCUUUUGAAAUGAAUUUGUAUUGAAAAUUUAUUAACAGUAUUAAACAUGUGUUCUUCUAUACCAAGUACCCUGUAGUAUAAAAAUGAUGGUCUUUAAUGCAGAAUGUCUUUUUUUUUUAUACAAUUUAAUAUUGAUAGUACAUGUAAUAUUAGAAUGUUUAGAUAGGCAAUUCAUUCAUAAAAUACACUGUUGUGUUAAACAUGUGCACUAGUACAGGUUACAUACAAUGUAUAUACACAGAACAUUCUGACAAUAUGUUACAUCUCUGCCAAAAAGGGAAUAGCUUCAAUGCAUUGUGUCUAUGAAAAUAUGUGAAGUGAAACUAUGUUUUUAUUUGAUUUCAAUGAAAAUAUGUGAAAC
rnacentral:misc_RNA from 1 species